CUACGGAGGCUCCAAGCGUUAUCCGGAAUCAUUGGGUUUAAAGGGUCCGCAGGCGGUCAAUUAAGUCAGAGGUGAAAGCCCAUCGCUCAACGAUGGAACUGCCUUUGAUACUGGUUGACUUGAGUUAUACGGAAGUAGAUAGAAUAAGUAGUGUAGCGGUGAAAUGCAUAGAUAUUACUUAGAAUACCGAUUGCGAAGGCAGUCUACUACGUAUAUACUGACGCUGAGGGACGAAAGCGUGGGGAGCGAACAGGAUUAGAAACCCUUGUAGUCC
rnacentral:rRNA from 1 species